rnacentral:rRNA from 1 species
UACGUAGGGUGCGAGCGUUAAUCGGAAUUACUGGGCGUAAAGCGUGCGCAGGCGGUUGGCAAAGUCAGCUGUGAAAGCCCCGGGCUCAACCUGGGAAUGGCAUUGGAAACUGGCGAGCUAGAGUGUGGCAGAGGGGGGUGGAAUUCCGCGUGUAGCAGUGAAAUGCGUAGAGAUGCGGAGGAACACCGAUGGCGAAGGCAGCCCCCUGGGCUGACACUGACGCUCAGGCACGAAAGCGUGGGGGAGCAAACAGG